GACGAACGCUGGCGGCGUGCUUAACACAUGCAAGUCGAACGGAAAGGCCCUGCUUUUGUGGGGUGCUCGAGUGGCGAACGGGUGAGUAACACGUGAGUAACCUGCACUUGACUUUGGGAUAACUUCAGGAAACUGGGGCUAAUACCGGAUAGGAGCUCCUGCUGCAUGGUGGGGGUUGGAAAGUUUCGGCGGUUGGGGAUGGACUCGCGGCUUAUCAGCUUGUUGGUGGGGUAGUGGCUUACCAAGGCUUUGACGGGUAGCCGGCCUGAGAGGGUGACCGGCCACAUUGGGACUGAGAGACGGCCCAGACUCCUACGGGAGGCAGCAGUGGGGAAUAUUGCACAAUGGGCGGAAGCCUGAUGCAGCAACGCCGCGUGCGGGAUGACGGCCUUCGGGUUGUAAACCGCUUUCGCCUGUGACGAAGCGUGAGUGACGGUAAUGGGUAAAGAAGCACCGGCUAACUACGU
rnacentral:rRNA from 1 species